UGAGGACACGACAACAAAUCAUUUGUCCCAGUACACAAAUAAGUAGUACGGGUGUCUGAAGUGAAAAAUCGACAUUGAUAUAUUUUUGUUUACAGUCUGUGUUUGAAAGUUGAUUUUAAAGGAGUAAAGUGUUGAUCUUUUGAAAUAUAUGAUUAUUAGGGACGAAUUGGAUUUUAUUUAACAUGAAAAAGUUUUUAAUGUAUUAUUAAAAAUACGGUUGUAAUUUUAGUGAAAAUGUACAAUUCAUUAAUAUGGGCCAGUGUUUAAGUUUGGAUCAAGAGGAAUUGAAAGCACGUGCCAAAAGUGAUGUUAUAGACCGACAGUUACAGUCAUGGGCUAAAGAAGAGCAAAAUGUCAUUAAAAUUUUAUUGCUUGGUGCAGCAGAGAGUGGCAAAAGUACUUUGGUAAAGCAAAUGAAAAUAAUUCACCAUGAUGGAUUUUCUAAUGAUGAAUUAAUGUCAUUUAAGCCAGCAGUCCUAGAUAAUUUACUGGGUUCAAUGAAGUAUGUCCUGACAGGAAUGGGACUGUUACGUAUUAAUCUGGAAAAUCCUAAAUACAGAUCUCAUGCAGAAAAAGUCCUCACCUGUAUCUGUUGUUUUGAUAAAAAACAGAACAUGUAUCAAGAUGUAUAUGCGUCACUGAAAUACCUGUGGCAGGACCGAGGGGUACGACUGGCUGUGUCUCGAGGUUAUGAAUAUGAACUGAAUGAUUCGGCUAUAUAUUACUUUGAAAAUAUGGACAGAAUUUGUCAUCAUAACUUUGUACCUAAUGCCAAGGAUGUUCUGCGAGCCAGAGUACGCACAACUGGAAUCUUAGAAACAUGUUUUAAGAUUAAUAACUUUGUUAUACGCAUGUUUGAUGUAGGAGGUCAGAGGUCAGAGAGGAGGAAGUGGAUCCAUUGUUUUGGGGAUGUAAAAGCUGUGUUAUUUGUGGCAGCAUUAAGUUGUUAUGAUAUGUACUUGUUUGAAGAUCCUGAUGUGAAUCGACUUGAAGAAAGUUUGAAUUUAUUCAGAGGUAUCUGUAACAAUAGGUUCUUCAGGGAGACUUGUAUGAUUUUAUUUUUGAACAAAGUGGAUCUUUUUAAAGAUAAAAUACGCCAUUCUGAGAGACAUCUGAGGAACUUCUUUCCUGAUUAUCGAGGUAAAGACCGUGAUUUUGAUAGUGCAGCUCAUUUUAUACGAAUAGAAUUCCAGCGUCAGAAUCAUGUGCCAUCAAAAGUCAUCUAUCCACAUUUUACCACUGCAACAGACACUAGCAAUAUUCAGGUUGUGUUUCAAGUUGUCAUGGACUCCAUACUUAAGGAUAAUCUCAGAAGUAGUACAUUGUUGUGAUCUUUACAAGGUCAUGUCGAGGUUACAUCAAUGUGGUUAAGGAACAUUCCAGUGUUGUCAUGGACACUAUAGUUAAGGAUAAUCUCAGAAGUAAUACAUUGUUGUGAUCCUUACAAGGUCAUGUCAAGGUUACAUCAACGUGGUUAAGGAACAUUCCAGUUUUGUAAUGGACUCCAUACAUAAGAAUAAUCUCAGAAGUAGUACAUUGUUGUGAUCUAUACAAGCUCAUGUCAAGGUUACAUCAAUGUGGUUAAGUAACAUUUUAGUUUGUAAUAUAAUAUUUAAAUUAAUAAUUAUUACUUAAUUUUCUUUUUUUUUUCUUUUGAUAGAUUAUCAAAAAGGUAUCUAAUUGAAAAAGUAAUUAAGAAGAAGUAAGUUAAGAUCCUCAAUCAGGUUUUUUGCCCGCAAUUUUAUUGUGUUUACUGCAAAAAUGUAGUUUUGAAUUAAUUUUUUUAAUUUUGAUUUUGAUGGGUUAUUCUUUAUGAUUAUAAUGGAAUUCUUUGCUUGUGAAUUUAUAUAUGAUUUGAUAAAGACUUUAUGGUUUCAAUGGUGAAAGGGAUUAAAUAGUCUAAUAGGAAAUAUCUUCCACAUAUACAGUGU